CGGGGGGCUGCAGCAGUGGGGAAUAUUGCACAAUGGGCGCAAGCCUGAUGCAGCCAUGCCGCGUGUAUGAAGAAGGCCUUCGGGUUGUAAAGUACUUUCAGCGGGGAGGAAGGGAGUAAAGUUAAUACCUUUGCUCAUUGACGUUACCCGCAGAAGAAGCACCGGCUAACUCCGUGCCAGCAGCCGCGGUAAUACGGAGGGUGCAAGCGUUAAUCGGAAUUACUGGGCGUAAAGCGCACGCAGGCGGUUUGUUAAGUCAGAUGUGAAAUCCCCGGGCUCAACCUGGGAACUGCAUCUGAUACUGGCAAGCUUGAGUCUCGUAGAGGGGGGUAGAAUUCCAGGUGUAGCGGUGAAAUGCGUAGAGAUCUGGAGGAAUACCGGUGGCGAAGGCGGCCCCCUGGACGAAGACUGACGCUCAGGUGCGAAAGCGUGGGGAGCAAACAGGAUUAGAUACCCGCGUAGUC
rnacentral:rRNA from 1 species